UACGUAGGGUGCAAGCGUUGUCCGGAAUUAUUGGGCGUAAAGAGCUCGUAGGCGGUCUGUCGCGUCGGCUGUGAAAUCCCGGAGCUCAACUCCGGGUCUGCAGUCGAUACGGGCAAACUGGAGUACUGCAGGGGAGACUGGAAUUCCUGGUGUAGCGGUGGAAUGCGCAGAUAUCAGGAGGAACACCGGUGGCGAAGGCGGGUCUCUGGGCAGUAACUGACGCUGAGACGCGAAAGCCAGGGGAGCGAACGGG
rnacentral:rRNA from 1 species